GAUGAACGCUGGCGGCGUGCCUAAUACAUGCAAGUCGAGCGAACAGACGAGGAGCUUGCUCCUCUGACGUUAGCGGCGGACGGGUGAGUAACACGUGGAUAACCUACCUAUAAGACUGGGAUAACUUCGGGAAACCGGAGCUAAUACCGGAUAAUAUAUUGAACCGCAUGGUUCAAUAGUGAAAGACGGUUUUGCUGUCACUUAUAGAUGGAUCCGCGCCGCAUUAGCUAGUUGGUAAGGUAACGGCUUACCAAGGCAACGAUGCGUAGCCGACCUGAGAGGGUCAACGGCCACCCUGGAACUGAGACACGGUCCAGACUCCUACGGGAGGCAGCAGUAGGGAAUCUUCCGCAAUGGGCGAAAGCCUGACGGAGCAACGCCGCGUGAGUGAUGAAGGUCUUCGGAUCGUAAAACUCUGUUAUUAGGGAAGAACAAAUGUGUAAGUAACUAUGCACGUCUUGACGGUACCUAAUCAGAAAGCCACGGCUAACUACGUG
rnacentral:rRNA from 1 species